rnacentral:rRNA from 1 species
ACUCCUACGGGAGGCAGCAGUGGGAAUAUUGCACAAUGGGGAAAGCCAUCGAUGCAGCAACGACCGCGUGAGUGAUGACGGUCUUCGGAUUGUAAAGCUCUGUCUUCAGGGACGAUAAUGACGGUACCUGAGGAGGAAGCCACGGCUAACUACGUGCCAGCAGCCGCGGUAAUACGUAGGUGGCAAGCGUUGUCCGGAUUUACUGGGCGUAAAGGGAGCGUAGGUGGAUAUUUAAGUGGGAUGUGAAAUACUCGGGCUUAACCUGGGUGCUGCAUUCCAAACUGGAUAUCUAGAGUGCAGGAGAGG